rnacentral:rRNA from 1 species
GAUGAACGCUGGCGGCGUGCCUAAUACAUGCAAGUCGAGCGAACGGACGAGAAGCUUGCUUCUCUGAUGUUAGCGGCGGACGGGUGAGUAACACGUGGAUAACCUACCUAUAAGACUGAGAUAACUUCGGGAAACCGGAGCUAAUACCGGAUAAUAUUUUGAACCGCAUGGUUCAAAAGUGAAAGACGGUCUUGCUGUCACUUAUAGAUGGAUCCGCGCUGCAUUAGCUAGUUGGUAAGGUAACGGCUUACCAAGGCAACGAUGCAUAGCCGACCUGAGAGGGUGAUCGGCCACCCUGGAACUGAGACACGGUCCAGACCCCUACGGGAGGCAGCAGUAGGGAAUCUUCCGCAAUGGGCGAAAGCCUGACGGAGCAACGCCGCGUGAGUGAUGAAGGUCUUCGGAUCGUAAAACUCUGUUAUUAGGGAAGAACAUAUGUGUAAGUAACUGUGCACAUCUUGACGGUACCUAAUCAGAAAGCCACGGCUAACUACGUG